AUUGAACGCUGGCGGCAGGCCUAACACAUGCAAGUCGAGCGGGGUUUCCGGACCUAGCGGCGGACGGGUGAGUAAUGCGUAGGAAGCUGCCUGGUAGUGGGGGACAACGUUUCGAAAGGAACGCUAAUACCGCAUACGUCCUACGGGAGAAAGCAGGGGACCUUCGGGCCUUGCGCUAUCAGAUGAGCCUAGGUCGGAUUAGCUAGUUGGGGGGGUAGUGGCUCACCAAGGCGACGAUCCGUAACUGGUCUGAGAGGAUGAUCAGUCACACGGGAACUGAGACACGGUCCAGACUCCUACGGGAGGCAGCAGUGGGGAAUAUUGGACAAUGGGCGAAAGCCUGAUCCAGCCAUGCCGCGUGUGUGAAGAAGGUCUUCGGAUUGUAAAGCACUUUAAGUUGGGAGGAAGGGUUGUAGAUUAAUACUCUGCAAUUUUGACGUUACCGACAGAAUAAGCACCGGCUAACUCUGUGCCAGCCGCCGCCGUAACAC
rnacentral:rRNA from 1 species